AACGCGUGGGAACGUACCCUUUUCUGCAGGAUAGCCACUGGAAACGGUGAGUAAUACUGCAUACGCCCUUCGGGGGAAAGAUUUAUCGGAGAAGGAUCGGCCCGCGUUAGAUUAGAUAGUUGGUGGGGUAACGGCCUACCAAGUCUACGAUCUAUAGCUGGUUUGAGAGGAUGAUCAGCAACACUGGGACUGAGACACGGCCCAGACUCCUACGGGAGGCAGCAGUGGGGAAUCUUAGACAAUGGGCGCAAGCCUGAUCUAGCCAUGCCGCGUGAGUGAUGAAGGCCUUAGGGUCGUAAAGCUCUUUCGCCUGUGAAGAUAAUGACUGUAGCAGGUAAAGAAACCCCGGCUAACUCCGUGCCAGCAGCCGCGGUAAUACGGAGGGGGUUAGCGUUGUUCGGAAUUACUGGGCGUAAAGCGCGCGUAGGCGGACAUUUAAGUCAGAGGUGAAAUCCCAGGGCUCAACCCUGGAACUGCCUUUGAUACUGGGUGUCUUGAGUUCGAGAGAGGUGAGUGGAAUUCCGAGUGUGGAGGUGAAAUUCGUAGAUAUUCGGAGGAACACCAGUG
rnacentral:rRNA from 1 species